AUAAAGAGGGGGCCGGGACGCCAAGCUCCGCCUCCCACCCUCUCUUUGCUCCUUUUCAAGGAGAAAAAUAGCGAUAAAAAUAGAACAAAAUUCAAGUAAGAGGCAGUAGAAAAGACAACGCUAUCUCUGGAAGUCCAGUGAACACAAUCCACAGAACGAACUCUGACUCUAAGCAGUCAGCAGAUGUAUGAAGGAGUGCCACAUAUUUGUCAACAAGUACAUGGCAGCACAGAGUCAAAAAAAGGCUGCUACUGAAGUUAGUCAGGGGUUUUAAUGGACAGGAGCAACCGGAAUACAGCUGUGGGCAGCAUCUACGCCGAAGGACUUCUUGAUUAUUUAGACAAGACGCUAGAGGAUUUCCAGGGCCAGAGGAGUGACAUCUCUAGUGCGCGCCUCAAAACAGGCAGUUUGCUUAAUGCUUGACCUUUCACCUCUCAAGGCUAUCAGAAGAAAUGUGGACAAAAGCAGAGCGAGCCUGUCCCUGACCCUUCCUGAGAAAUGUUGUUUUCCUGUCCGGCGUGAGAUUUUGAAGAGGAAGCAGGCGCUUUUCAGAUUCAGACUGCCCUCCGGUUAAGAUUUCCAUUUUAUUCUGUUUUUUUUUAUUUCUCUUAUUUAAGCUGUUUAAUGCAAAUCUCUACAAUAGAUAACAGUGCAAACAGACGAGUCCAGAGUGAGCUUGGCCAGCAGCAAAAGCAAUCUGAAUACAUAUAAAUAAAAUCUUGGUUAUCCAGCUGUCGCUCUUAAAUCACUUACAACCUCAGUGACAAGUGGCUGUGGACUACGGACUAGUGUGUUUCAGAGGAAAAGACUUAAAACAGCUGUGUAUUAAACACUAUCCUGAGACGCCUCUGAUACAGGAGUG